GUCUAGGACCUCUGGGUGGUUGCGCUGAUUCCCGGCCAAUGCACCAAAUGAAAGACCCUCGAGGGGAGACCCUCACUCAGACACUCAAGUCCCGGGACAGCCGCGUACCCAAGAAGACACUGAGACCA
rnacentral:pre_miRNA from 7 species